rnacentral:lncRNA from 1 species
GGUAUAUAGGUUUUAUUGUCCUAACCAUGUAUCUAAAAUAGUUCAAGCUAGAAAUGCUAAGUUUUUUAAGGAUUAUGAGCUUAGUGGGAGUGAUUUUUCUCGUAAGGAUGAAUUUGAAAAAAUAAGAGAUCAAAUUGAUCAACCCAUAAAAGAUAUGAAAUUGAUUGUUAUUCAAAGAGAUUCACAAGAUCGUGAACAACCAAUUUAAGAACAACCACUUCAUGAAGAGCAAGUUCAUAUUGAGCCUACUAUUAAAAAUACUUAGAAUACGGAUGUAAU